GACGAACGCUGGCGGCGUGCCUAAUACAUGCAAGUAGAACGCACAGUUUAUACCGUAGCUUGCUACACCAUAGACUGUGAGUUGCGAACGGGUGAGUAACGCGUAGGUAACCUGCCUGGUAGCGGGGGAUAACUAUUGGAAACGAUAGCUAAUACCGCAUAAUAUUGAUUAUUGCAUGAUAAUUGAUUGAAAGAUGCUAUUGCAUCACUACCAGAUGGACCUGCGUUGUAUUAGCUAGUAGGGGAGGUAACGGCUCACCUAGGCGACGAUACAUAGCCGACCUGAGAGGGUGAUCGGCCACACUGGGACUGAGACACGGCCCAGACUCCUACGGGAGGCAGCAGUAGGGAAUCUUCGGCAAUGGACGAAAGUCUGACCGAGCAACGCCGCGUGAGUGAAGAAGGUUUUCGGAUCGUAAAGCUCUGUUGUAAGAGAAGAACGGGUGUGAGAGUGGAAAGUUCACACUGUGACGGUAUCUUACCAGAAAGGGACGGCUAACUACGUG
rnacentral:rRNA from 1 species